rnacentral:rRNA from 1 species
UCCGGUUGAUCCUGCCGGACCCCACUGCUAUCGGGGUGGGACUAAGACAUGCUAGUCGUGCGCCUCCAAGCCACGGUGGAGGCGCGGCGCACAGCUCAGUAACACGUGGCUAACCUACCCUUGGGACAGGGACAACUCCGGGAAACUGGGGCUAAUCCCCGAUAGGUGAGGACUCCUGGAAUGGGUCCUCGCUGAAAGGGCGUCUAGACCAUGCUUCUAGACGCUGCCCAAGGAUGGGGCCGCGGCCGAUCAGGUUGUUGGUGAGGUAACGGCUCACCAAGCCUAAGACCGGUACGGGCCGUGAGAGCGGGAGCCCGGAGAUGGACACUGAGACAAGGGUCCAGGCCCUACGGGGCGCAGCAGUCGCGAAACCUCCGCAAUACGCGAAAGCGUGACGGGGCCACCCCGAGUGCCGUCCGCUGAGGACGGCUUUUCCCCAGUGUAGACAGCUGGGGGAAUAAGGGGAGGGCAAGUCGGGUGUCAGCCGCCGCGGUAAUACCCGCUCCCCGAGUGGUGGGGACGCUUAUUGGGCCUAAAGCAUCCGUAGCCGGCUGGACAAGUCCCCUGUUAAAUCCAGCGAUUUAAUCGCUGGACUGCGGGGGAUACUGUCCAGCUAGGGGGCGGGAGAGGCCGGCGGUAUUCCCGGGGUAGGGGUGAAAUCUUAUAAUCCCGGGAGGACCACCAGUGGCGAAGGCUGCCGGCUGGAACGCGCCCGACGGUGAGGGAUGAAAGCUGGGGGAGCGAACCGGAUUAGAUACCCGGGUAGUCCCAGCUGUAAACGAUGCGGGCUAGGUGUUGGCACGGCUACAAGCCGUGUCAGUGCCGCAGGGAAGCCGUUAAGCCCGCCGCCUGGGGAGUACGGCCGCAAGGCUGAAACUUAAAGGAAUUGGCGGGGGAGCACCACAAGGGGUGAAGCUUGCGGUUUAAUUGGAGUCAACGCCGGG